GAAGGCGUUACUUAAGGCUGCUUUCCAAAGCAGUGAAAAAAUAAGCCAGAACAGCUGUGCUGAUGGCUGGGACUUUCUCAGGACAGCUUGUAAGGCCCGACCUGGCAGCUCUCUGGGCCCACCGGAGCUCUCCUGCCUUGUCUUAUACCUGCCUCUCUGUGCUCCAGCCACAUUGCCAUCUCUCCAUUUCUUAAAUGCUACAUAAAGCCGCAUUCUUUUCCCACAGAUAGAAAAUGCUGUGCUCUCCCUUGAAAAGCCUCUCUCUCCAGUGAAUUCCCACUCAUUCCUCAGUUUUCAGUUGAAGCAUCAUUCAUUCCUUCAGGAAACCUUUUCUAGCCCCUAACACCCUGCAUUGGUCCUAACAUACCUUGGCAUGACUGCUGCAGCUCUAUAUCUGUGUGGGUACUGACGGAUGUGACCCCGGGAGGGAGGGUGUGCAGCCUAUGGCUCACCACGGUAUCCCCAGCACCUGUCUCUCUGCUUGCCUAUUAACUUCCUAAAUUAGUGCAUUUUCCCCUCUCAUUUAAAAAAAAAACUUUAAUUUUUUCCUUUGUAUAUAUUGACAGAGCACAAGUACAGAUUUCUUGCGUG
rnacentral:antisense_RNA from 1 species